UUCACUAUAUAAGGACUUGAUUGG
rnacentral:siRNA from 1 species